rnacentral:rRNA from 1 species
UACAGAGGGUGCAAGCGUUGUUCGGAAUUAUUGGGCGUAAAGCGCGUGUAGGCGGCUUUGCAAGUCGGGUGUGAAAGCCCUCAGCUCAACUGAGGAAGUGCGCCCGAAACUGCAGAGCUUGAGUGCCGGAGAGGGUGGCGGAAUUCCCCAAGUAGCGGUGAAAUGCGCAGAUAUCAGGAAGAACACCCGUGGCGAAGGCGGCUCUCUGGAACGCAACUGACGCUGAGACGCGAAAGCGUGGGGAGCAAACAGG